UUUCCUGCAUGACCUCCUCUUCCUAGCUUAUCAAUUUCAGCCAUAAUACAUUCUCAGUCAUCUUUUUUAACUUCUGCAUCGCCAAUCCAAUCACUAGCUAAUUCUUAUGGAUCUGUCCCCUCUUUUCCAUUCCCACUGGCUUCUUCCUAAUUAGGGACUCUUCAGCUCUUUUCUGAACUCUCACUUUCAACUGCCUCCCUCUGCCAUUCCUUCCUACACAUCUCUUGAAGCCAGGGCAGUAAGUGAGGCCAAAGCAAAGGAGGCAGGACCAGGCAGGUACUUUGACCUUAAACACAGGG
rnacentral:lncRNA from 1 species